UUUUUUUUUUUUAGAAUUUUUUUUUUGUAUGUCUUAUCCUAGUCUAGAAACUAGUAGGUCCCCUACUUCCCCACUGCGUUUCCCCUCAGCCAGAUGUGUCUGACCCAGAGGCAGUUUGGGUUCUUUGGCAGAGGACGCAGCCCGGGCCACCCUCUGCUGGAACAGGUACACUGUUAGCACCUCCAAAACUGAGUGCAGCUCUCGUGGGGGCAUUCCUCUAAUCGGCCAGAAGGACACACAAGAAUGUCACGGCACCACACUCAGGCCGACAAAACGUACAGAGAGCACAAAACAAAUGCCAGCCUGAGAGCGGCUGAGCCCUGUGGCUGGAUCCCAGUACCCGCAUCAGAGCCCCGCAGCCUCACGUGCUGUUUCCACCAUGAACUGCAACAGGGGCCUCAUGCUGGGAAAGGGAGAAAAGACUUGGGGUUUCGGUUGUGCCUGGAUGCUGUUCUGUAUCCCAAGGGUCCCAACGGAAAAUCAGUAAGGAGAGAUCCUCUAUCGACAGGUUAACGGUGACCCUCUGAUUUCUUGGAGGGGGGAAAAACUUCCAUCACAGAGCCUCCCCCGUCCUAGAACUAACCUAACUUCUUAAAAGACUUAUGCAAUCACAGUUGGACACUCCCUCUUAGGAUCUGGCCCCCCCUAAAUCCCAUCUCUCCUGAACAGCAGGUGCCUGGCCUCAACACUGAACCAUGCCGGCUCUGUCUAGAGGUGUGGAGUCUUGGGACGUUUCCUGGCACUUGUGAGGUUUGUAACAGGCAGGUCACCAAAGCCACUUCUCGGCUGGCGUGGCUUUCCCUGAGCUGCUGUGCACCCCCAGCAAGAGGUCAAGGAAUAUCUCAUUCCUGUGUAUUAGUGGCUACUCCUUCGACCUCUUGCUCUUGAGUUACAAGGGGUUGGGAAACGUAUCUCUUAGGGGUAGUCUGCUGGUUCUCUACCUUUGUCUCAGUUUAAAAUGACCCUCAGCAGAUUCAUGAAUUUCCAAAAAUGCAUGUGCACCACUGGGGGCCAGAAAAAAAAUCAAUGUGCCUGUAGACCACACGCUCUCCCUGCAAAUCUUCGCAUCCCUCAACUUUUGAAUUUUCCAGGCUUUGACUAACCUGUUCUAUUUUCCUAGCAGUACAAUUUCCUUCUUUCCUCAUUUUUCUAUCACAUAAAGGUAAGUCUCUGAGUGCUCUGGUUCCUCUGUUUUCCUCCUCCUUCUCAGCGGGCCAAGUGAAGCUUAGAGAAAUUCUAACCUACUUUCUAAGUUGAUUCUCUUUCUUCUAACCCUGUGGAGCUAACCCCGUUUGCUGGAUCAUCGUGCUCUCCUUCCCUGUUCUUUGCUCCCUGCCCAAGCACACUUCCUUCGAGAUUUUAUCUUGUGCUGCCCCCGGCCUGAGAGGGAAGAACUCGGUCAGUUCCAGGCCUGCCGAAAGUAAAGGCAGCCCAGCACCCAGAAGAUCUCUCCCCGGCUGUUUAUAGGAAAUCCAGGCCUAAUUUCAGUCAUGUUGGCCUCUCCGGCUGAAACUCUGUCAUCUGUCCUAAAUCCCUCUGCUCCACCGAUGUCCUAGCCACGCUCCCCUCACAGCAUACACCAUACCUGUUGGCACAAGUUGUUGUGUUACCUUGAAAACUAAAUAAAUAUGUUGUGUUGUGAUUCUCUUAGCUGUCUGAGCAGAUACCACAUAACCACCCUCACCCUAUGCUGUCCCAGGCUUUAGGGAGGCUCCCGUUUGCUCUUACGAUUGACCCACCCCAUUGCCAUGCUGCCAAGAAGUCUCUCAACAAUGCUUCUCUGGGAAACAUUCUGGUCCACACAGAAUGUACUGCUUAACGUGACUAAAAUUUUAGGGGAGAAAUGCAACCUCUGAUGGGGCAACUACCAAACUACCCUUUCGCUUUUAGUUCUUCCUUUAAAAGCACUUAGAUCUGGAUGCGUGUUUCUCCCAUUCACAUCUGUGUUCUCUGAGUCAGUCCUAAGCCUCUGGGUUAAGAAAAUGCCCUUCCUGCUCUUCUUCUAUCUCAAUGGGUACAUCUUCCUACAGUUUCUCCCUCACUUUUCAACUGCUCCUCUCUGACUUAACCACAAAAACUUGUUUUCUUAAGAACUAAUUCUACUCCAACGUAACUGACCAAACCCCAUUCCUAAAAGCCGUCUGUUCCAGACAUAGGAGGUUUGAAUGCUUUCUCCAUUUCAUAUGCUUUCCUGUCUCCACCCACCAAGAUGACACGCUGCUGAUAGAGGAAAUCUUACUCCUUUUCAUCUGUUCAUUGAUUUAAAAUGCACCAUUUAUCUGUAAUUGAUCUCAGCACUGGUCUCAGAAACCUACACCUGCUCUCAGGGCUUAUGAAGGGAACAAUCUAGAACCAACUUGAGAACCUGUAGAUAGGAAUCCACAACCUCUGGAAACUGAAGGAGGCCAAGGCUUUCCCUGGAUGAAAUACAAAAUGAAACAGAGACAGAAUUUGGGAGAGGUGACCUAGCACUCUCUGUCAAAGCCCUAGUGCUAACAAUCUAAAGGCCAAACAGCACGUGCUAAUGUUCUGGAUGCUCAAUUCAACUGUGUUUUGUAACUUGAGGUCCCAGUAAUACAAUGUCAGCCUGUCACUGCAGUGUCAUGCACUGCAACCUUCUAGGUCAAAGCUUGGCACAUGAGCUCAUGUGAGCAAGUACUCAGAUGCUCCAGAGGGUAGACUUCUUUCUAAGUGGCACAAGGAGUACACGGAGAUGCUUGAUGCCCAAAUCCUACUCCUGGCCCUUCUUGUUCUCUUCCUGUCUAGAAAGCCCGAGAACAGAAGUAUCAAAUGAUAAACAUAAACUGGAGCUCCUACUUGUUGAUCUGGGCUACUUGUAGUCUAACCUCACGUAAGUGAAGCAGCUGUGCCCUGAGGCAGGUCUUACAUAGGUGGUCUUAGACUGAAAAGCUAGAGAGGGGCCUCCCACAAUGAGAAUAAAGGCAGAGCAAAUGAAUUUAAUUCAUUUAAAAAAGAAAAAAAAAAAGCAAAGAAUAACUCACUGACUCCUUAACCUGGAAGACACUGGGACAACAUUGAAUGCAGAGCUCAGGGGUCAUGGUAGGCGCUACCAGGAUGAUCUGAACCCCUUUUCCCCUUCCCUAUCCCAAGCCCAGAAGAGCUAGCGCCUCCUCAGACAGGCUGGACCUCCUGGAGGGUCAUCACUUAUG
rnacentral:lncRNA from 1 species